ensembl:lncRNA
GGACGCGUGCGGGCCACUGUCCCCAGUCUAUUCCGCGCGCCCAUCUCCGCACCCUCGCACCCUCCUCGGGACACUUGUCCCUCGACUCCCUACCCCAGGCCCGCCCGAAGCACUCGGGCCACCUUCUCGGGAGGUCCCCAGGAUAUUUUCCUGGGGCGACCUGCGCAGCGAGGAAAGGAGGGAUUUCAGAGAAGGGACACAAGGGGGGAUUCCCUGGGAGGGGGGUGCGAUGGCAGACCACAGAUAAAGGAGCGGGUGCCAAAGCGCGGGCCUCUGCUCCGUUGGGGGGCACUGGGAGGCCCCAUGGGCAGAGUUGGAAACUUUUCCUCCACGUGGUAGCACAACCCGUGGCCAAGUGACUCGGCACCCGAAUGACCUCUAGGCCCUCCUCGCCUUCAAGCGGGGGCCCCUGGGACGCGCGGGCGGCUUUGGAGCUGGCAGCGUGAGGUUGUGCUGCCGGGGACCGAACUUGAACCUCGGCAGCGGCGCGCGAGGGGGCGGGGCAGAAGCGGCCAGAACCGCCGCAACCCUGAGGACCCGUUAGACCCGCAAAAUUCAGUCCCAACCACGGCGAGCUUCCUUUAUUUGCGGGGAGCGAGGUCUUCCUGCUUUUCCUAUCACUGCCCCUGCUCCCGCCGCAAUGUACCUGAUGCUUAUAAAAAGUUGUAUUAAAGAGCCGACUGCAGCCCAGAAUCGAUCAACAAAAACGACCAGCCUCUCUGGGUAAAAUAGCUGUGCGUUUUUCGGAGCACUGGAAUUGAUCUACAUGGAUCAGAAAGACGCCAAUAGCCCUCUCUCACAAACCGGUACCUCUGAUGAAUGGCACAUUGAUCAACCCAUAUUCUUUAGACUCUGCCAUAUGAAGCCAAUGAAAAAUACCUGAUGACCAAAUGAUGAUUAUGUGAAAAAGUAGUUUUGGCAAUUUAAUAAGCUUUAGAUUUUCACAAAACCAGCCAGUCUCAGGACAAAGCUUUCUACUUGAAGAUUACAUGACAUGAUCAGGUGGGAAAAUUGAUAGAUAAGCGUAAAAAAAAACUUCAAAUGACUCUUUAAAGCUACCAAUGGGAGAUAUCCGUAUUCAUUACUGAUUAUAACCCUGAGGAUCAAUUUCUCUGUUGAAUUUGGUAGAUGACUUGGGAUGAAUCACAUGAUUUUAUUUUCAUUUUUAUUUGAAGAGCAGUAUAGAUCUAAAAGGAUAAGAUUCAGAUAACAACAUCCUGGUUGAAGAAAUUAUCGAUUCUUUGGAAUUACAUGAAGAACAUAAUAAAUUAUAUCCCAGACUUAAUUGCAAGAUCCUAUUUUACAAAACCUAGUAAUUAUUUUACAUUUCUGCUGUGUUCAAGGCUUUUUGUGGUCUGGUCCCAGUUACAUUUUCAAACUCCUUUAUUCCAGCAUAUAUAUUUCUAUGGAUCCUAAACUGGCUCUUACCCAGAACACUUCCAUGCCUUUGCCUAUGCUGGUCCAUCACCCUAGAGUCUCCUUUCCUGACAGCUGGACUUACUGAAUGUCUACUCAUCCAUCAAGACCAAUUUAUCCAUCAAGGCGAACUCAUCCAGAAAGCUUAGUCAGAUUGCUACUUCCAUUCAAAAUUAACAGCUUCCUCUCUGCUUAUGUAGCACUUUAAUUUAUAUAUUUUUAAUAUAUUUCAAAAUAAUAUAAUGAACCAUCAUGUACUUUCCCAGUAGCUUAAGAAAUAAAACAUUUGCAAAAU